GAGUUGGCUCAUGGCCACUGAGCGAAGGCUCGGUGGUCCUGGUCUUUAAAGUGGAAGGCAUUGCGCUAGGCUGGUUUCACAAAGCAGUGACCACGUCCCUCUC
rnacentral:SRP_RNA from 1 species